CCUCCAAAGUCCCAUAAGUGGAAAGGCAGCGUCCUGACUGAAGGGUGUGAUUUCAGCCCAUCUCUGUACCUUCACUGGAGGCCAAGUGCUGCUGACGUGAACAAAGAGGUCAAAAGUGGACAAAAAAAUAAAACCAGCUUGGAAAGAUUACAACCUAAGGAAUACUGCUCAACAUGUCACAGCAGUAAGCUUGUUUUCUGUGGAAAAACUAGAACUCCAGAACAGAUUCUCUGGAAUUGAUGGCAUUACUUACCAGCACAGCCAAAACUGUUGUUCACGGAGAGAAAACCCAUCCAGGAGAUGCAGCAUCCGAGCUUUUCAUUACGCAAGUGUUCCAGAAAGGAUCGAGCAUGCUACCUGUGAGAGCAAGGUCCUGUGCUUUUUCUCAGGCUGUACACACAGAAAUGGAGGCUCUCCAAACUUGCACUUGCUUGUUUAAACCAUGGCCUUGGUUUCUGUGACUAAAAUAAUGCCGAUGGCAUAUUUGCAUGAAUAAUUAAACUUUAUUAGGGAGAUAAUGGCCAUCUGUUACCUCCUUUUAAUGGAUUUUUUACAAAGUACACUUCACCCUCUUUUACUUAUAAAUGAAGAGGGAAGGAUUCUGAGCCAUCAAAAUCAUUGAGAGGUUAAUGUAUUGGCACCACUCUGGCUAUUUUCCUCAGGUGAAACCCCAGUCGUGCUGGAGUCAGCUCUUCAUUUUGCCAUUGGUUUUGAUACAGCAGGGAUUUUUACCUUUGGAGAUCAGUGCUAACUGAGAGAGGUCUGGGGAGGCAAUUGAGAAACUGUCUUAGAUGCUUUGUUGUCUCCUGUGCUCAGGUAAAUAAGAUUUUGUGCAUUCUUCCAUACAGAGAGAUUUUCAUCUAAGAUACUUAUUUUUUUUCCAUUCCUACCUUCAAAACUUCACAAGAGAGUGAAUUUUAACUAAGCUGCCUCACUCCAAAGGGGCAGUGCUAGCUAUUAUUUGCACUUUAGUUCUUUUCAGCCUUUUUUACUUUGAAGAACAUGUAAAAAUAGUAUUUUAAAAUUCAGUUCCUGUCAUUUUCUGGGGGGGGGAAAAUGACACCAUUUCUUUGGCAAUGUAAACUUAUCUUUCUUACUGUUCAGCCUGGUUGUGGUUAGACUGUGUGGACGUUAGUAAAAUCACACCAUUACUGGGUAUUUAAGGGAUCUUCAAAACAAUUUUUAUGGUCCAGAAAAAGAAAUCAGAUGGAAAAAUAAUGUAAAACUAUUUGUCUAAUUGUGAUUACAGUGUUUAAUACACCAUAAUUGUUUGUCAUAGGGUCUAACGUGGGUUAUAAUUUUACAAAAGUUAUGUUUAUUUGGAAAACUCAAUUUUUUUUUCUAUUAUUUUUAAGUUGACUUGUUGACUUUGUAUCCAGAAGGUCAAUAUUUUUGCAUGAAAGUCAAAAGAUUUUCAGGUGAGAGGCUCAUCUCACACCUUAUAUUUUGUAGGCCCUGUUUUUCUCAAACAGCAAAGCAAACAAUUCACACUCCUCUGAAAUACUUAACUUGUUUUAACUUAUAAGCUACGUAUGUACUCCAACCAAUGACAGAAUAUUCCUGGUAGGAAUAUUUUCUAAUUUGUUUUCUUUCUUUUUUUUUUUUUUUUCAGUGUGUGGAUAUUUAUUUAUUUUUUAUUAAGAUUCUAUGGUGUUACUGAUCCCACAGCUAAGACAUUAUGAUACAUUAGUCUGUAGUUGUCGCUAAUUUGAGACAUUUGUCAUAUCAUUCCAGAUUAAAAUUCUUUCAACACUGCAAAAACAUUAUCUAAUAAAAACAUUUCAUGACAAACAGAACUUUAGUAGUUUCCAUAUUUUUUUACUGAAAAUGAAGCAUGUGCUUAAAAAUUCCUAGUCAUGCAACUGAAAAUUUGACCUUUGAUAUUCAAUAAUAAGCAAUAAUUAGUAAAAUAAUGACAGAAUUUCAUUACUAAA